ensembl:lncRNA
UCCUCUCACCUUCUCUGCUUUCAUUUCCCCCAGGGCCCCAGCUUCAUCCUGUCACUGCUGCUGGACCAGAGCCAGUGAAGGCCAUCUCUUAGGGCUCCCCACAACUCCUUAACUGAGGUCCUGUUUGCCUCUGUUUUUAAAUUCUUGAGGUAGGGCAUCCACCACAUAAGCCAGCCUCUUUUGAGCUAAAACCAAUCACCUUCCAUAGGAUAAUUUGUAUUUCAUACAAAAGACCCUCUCCCCACUAAGCCAGAACAGGGAGGGACAAUGGGGGUGGACACUGUGUUGAAUCUACAGAAAAUAUAUGGAGGAAUUUCCUACUCAAGUCCCCACACUGAAGCCUGGCAUAGAGGCCAUUCCGUGGCUUUCUUUAUAAGGUCACCCAACAUGAAGCUUAAGCCCCUGAGGUCUAAUUAGGAGGGUUAAGUGUUUAACAGAGGAUUCACAUUGCUGAAGAGCAACUGGAUGGAAGCAUCAUACUCUGCCCCCCUCGGCAUUCUAAUUCUAACAGCAUUGAAAGUCCUGUCAUCCCCGUGAGUCAGUGAGCAGCCAGGCUCAGUCUGUCCCUGUGACACCCAUCACUGGAUGUGUUUGGCUUUGCCGGCCAUAUGGCAGCUCAGAAGAGCUCUUUUGUAGUUUGAUGAUCUGGAAACUACUAAGGUUCUCUUGACAUUCUGUGUUGCUGGCUCGUUUCUGUUUGGGAAGAGCGGAUGCUGCUAGGGCUUACCUUGCCCUUGACUCUACUGAGGGAGCACUAUGAACCAAUCAUUUUCAUCGCUCAAGCGGGAUUAUCUUAACCUGCAAAGCAGAUGGGUAAGGAUGAGUAGUUUAGAAGCACUUAACAAUCAGCAAGCAGCAUUUCUUGAACAACAAAUAUAAACAUUACAAAUGGCUCAGUCUAGCGGGGGAGAGCGAUGAGGAAAACAGCAGUCACAGUAAAAUGGGAGAAGACCACAGGAGAGGGGUACAUGGGAGGCCUGGGAGCUAAGAGAGCCAGAAAUUCUCUCACCAGAGUCACACAUCCAGUAAGCAUUGGAGCUGAGGUUUGAAUCUAGGUCAUUUUGAACCCAAAUCCAUUCCACUUCAUCCCACUGCAGAGGAACCAGGCAGAGGUGCAGAGAUGGGUUCUUAGACCAAUGGAAUCGCCUUCUCAGUGGUAGGAAAGCUCUGUGAACUCUUAGUCAGUCAGAAAGCGCGGAUGUAAAAAUCGCUUCUCAGUUCUGAGGCAGGCACAUGGCACCGUCUGCUGCUGAGCCCUGAAGUGGUCUUAGAAUCCUCAGUCGAGCACUCCAGGACCCCCGUGGAUCAGAUUCGAAACCUAUUUGCCACACAGAAGUAUAGAAUCGAUCUGGAAGAGCCACAGGGGUUCAAACAGAACCUCACAGAGCCAGAGGUUCAGGAAGGAUGAUUUGAAUUGUCUCAAGUUCUCAAUUGCCUUAGGGGGGAAAAUGUUAUUAACCUGGAAACCCCACCAGUAAAAAGCUGAAGCUAAUGCUCACCCAAGGAACAGGGCUUGAGUUCAAGGCCAGCAUGUUUUCCUUGUCUGGUGUUGAAAUCUCACCAUUAGAUACCAGUAAAUUCAGACUCCAGAAUGGUACUGAAAGCUUAGUAAGAAGUGCUCGAAAUUGAGCCUUUGCAUUGACAACUCAACAGCAGAACAGAUUCACAGCAGCUGUUGCUUUGCUUUCCUCUAAUUAAAGCACUCUGUACUUAAGGAGAAAUGGUAAAGGCUAACCAGCUUUCAUCGAAACAUUUAUGUUAGGUUGAACCAACCUGGAACAUCGCUCUGACUCAGCCAGAACUUUGAUUAAAAAACUGCAAUGUUUCCUUCCUCAACAGUUUUUGAGCACUUGGCUGAUGCCUGAUGCCCAAUUGGGAUUAAUCUCCACAUCCUAACAAGAGGAACGACUAUUUCUCAGGGAACAGAAGUGGAGGUGCAUUCAGACCAUAUGUGUAAAUUUGGGAUCAGCUUUCUGUGAUGAAACUGGAAGCGAAUCCCAGAUGAGAGGCUCAACUGUUUCAGAAGAACAUUGCAAAGCCCAGCGCUCCUAACCAAGUUGUCACACACAGAGCAGAACUAUUGAUGAGAGCCAUCCAACAUCUGUUGCCUGGGUAACCAUCAAUCCACUAAGCCGGCUCUGAGUCAUAAAUGGCAUGGGGAGAAGGUCUGCUGGGAUAGAGGGCAGUGCAAACUCUUUUCAUCCUUCCCCAUCUCCAGAUGUGGCCUACGGCUGCCAUACAAGGUUAAUAGAAGCCUAUUAUCAAAUCCCUAAAGACCUAAAAGAAACCCUCUUUCCCUGACCCUCACUCAAAGUUUCUUGGACCUCCAUUAGUUUUUUCACAAAACCUCCCCAGAUUCUUAACAGUGCUUAGCAUAUUACCAUUGCUAAGCAGCACUACUCAAAAUGCCAGUCUGCUGAUUGGUGCUACGUUAUUCCACACCAGCAUCUGGCUCCCAGCCCGCACUUGGAGUAGCACUGGGCUAGAGCACCUACUCCUUAGGACCACUGUGGUAGCCAGUCAGAGCUCACACACUUACCGUGACUUUCACUUGGGACUUUGGUAACGGGAAAACCUACUACAUGGUUCUCCUUUCAUGUAUUCCAUCACAUCCAAUAUGCUGAACACAAUGUAGAGAGCAAAAUGAAUAAUAUGCCUUUGCAGAGCAACUAGUUCUAGUUCUCUAAAAAUACUCCAAGAUGUAUUCCCAAAAGAACUGAAAAUAAUUUUCAAGCAAAAACUUAUACAUAAAUGUUCAUAGCAGCACUAUUUACCACAGCCAAAAGGUGGAAACAACCCAAAUGUCCAUCAGUGGAUGAAUGGAUAAGCAAAAUGUAGUAUAUAAAGAAAAUACAUUACCCACAGUUCCAUCACCCAAAACCAAAUACUGUUCACAUCUUGUUUCAGUUUAUGUUCCAUAGUAAUAAUUCAUACUGCAUAUAUAAUUUAUAUUUUGUUUUCAAACUUUAUGUUAUUUCCAAAGUAUUGCCUGUGUUCCAUAAGUUUCAUGAGCUUAAACUACCAGGUAGAGGUUCCUGAUACAUAUUUCUUAAAUUGCUUCUUAAUAUUGUACUAAUUUAUACUGACCCCCGUAAUAUAUGAAAAUAUC